UACAGAGGUCCCAAGCGUUGUUCGGAUUCACUGGGCGUAAAGGGUGCGUAGGUGGCCAGGUAAGUCUGAUGUGAAAUCUCGGAGCUUAACUCCGAAACGGCAUUGGAUACUAUCUGGCUAGAGGGUCGGAGGGGAGACUGGAAUUCUCGGUGUAGCAGUGAAAUGCGUAGAUAUCGAGAGGAACACCAGUGGCGAAGGCGAGUCCCUGGACAACUCCUGACACUGAGGCACGAAAGCUAGGGGAGCAAACAGG
rnacentral:rRNA from 1 species